GUCAAAUAAGAUUAUAAUCGAUAUUUACUUUUUUUUCUGUUUUCGAAACAUCUGGAUCCAGAUUUUCAGCCGACAACAACAACGAAAAAAAAAGAAACUAACAGUAACAAGACAGAAAAAACACUCGAUUAAUUCAAUGUUGUUUUUUUCUGGUUCAAAGUUUUAGACAUUAAAUUAAAUUGUUAACACGUGACUAUCGUCAUUGAUCAUAUCCAUCACUAUAUAUCAAUUUCUGAUAAAUUCUAUAUCAUAAUUACACACACACACUCAGAUCCUGUUACAAAAAUCAAAAAA